CAGCCCUGGGCGUUUGUGUCUGUGCCCGGGCAGUUCCUAAAAGACAGAGCGGGUUGUGAGGUCUCUGAGUUUCGUCCUGGGUUCUGGGCUUUUGUGGGGUUUUUGCAGAAAUAAGUGCGUGAGAACCUCCGUUAUUAAACUAUUGCUGUUUCAAGUGAGCGCCAUCACCCAAGUUCUGCCCUGGACCCCGCACCUAGGAGCUGAAAUUGCCCUAGGCUGCAGGGACAGCCCUUUUGUAGAAGGUUUGGGUCCUGGAAGCAUUCCUCAAAGCGGGAUGCCAAGAAUCGGGAAACAUCAUUCUAUAAAGCAAAGAGAGUGUUCCAAUGAGCUGCGCAGAGGAGGUUGGCUUUAUGGGCAAAAAAAGGCUGAAGAACAGAACAAACAACUAAGGUGGGUAUUUCAAAGUUAUUUUCCUUAUAGGGUAAAAACAGUUUGGACGUUGUUAGUGUACUGACUCAGGUUGGCUAGAAUCUCCUGUUUUUUGGGAAAACUGGCCUGUUUCAAAGUUCAUUUUUGUUGCAUGGCACUUAGCACAAGUGACUUCAUUCUGGUUUCGUCUUGUCUGCUAGAACCUAGUACAGGAGGUUAGUCCAAAACAACGGCCUCCCAUAAAUCUUGUUUAACUUGAGUAAUUGGUCUUGGGCGAGUCCUGAGCGUCUGUAUUUUUUUUCUUCUUUCUAAACUCCAGGAAGUUUCUAAAUUGCACUAGGAUUGAGAACCACUGGUGUAGGCAGACUUCCCGUCCUCAGCCAUGCAUAGGAAGCCCAAUUUUCCCGCUUUUCCUUCACAUUAAAGUGUAUACCAAAGCCGGACCCAGCUGGAGGAUCUCCUCUGGCAAAGAAUUAAAUAGCUUCUCCGUCUCACUUUACCACUGCAAAUGUUCCAGCCAACGAAUGCCGUGGCAGUGGCUUUGGGCCAUAUUUACCUGUAAACUCUUGUAGUCUUAACAUGUGUACAGCUUGAUUUGUGGUCAAUCAUUCCCCAUCCUGGCUGUGAAAGCAAUUCAGUGAGUGCUCAACUUAAUUGGUUUGUGCCCACACAUGGACUUCCUAGUUUCCCUUUAACCUGAGACAUAUGCCAAUCCAAUGAUUGUCUAAAAAACAAAGUCAGAUUUGUAAAAUAUAGCUGUCAUCACCAUUAUUUCUGCAACAUUUGUAAUGCUAUAUUAUUACAACAAUAUUUAUUAUCUCAACUGGUAAUAUAGGGCCUCUACCUUGAUUUAUUUUGCAUUCCAUGCAUGUUGAGUACAAUGAAAAGCUGAUAAAGCAAAGCAAAUCCAUAGGAGGAGCUUCCAAAGAAAGGGGGGGAAGUAUAUGUAUCUCUUGUAUCAAAAAUGUUAAUUUUAAAUGUAAAUCAUGCAGCAUUUUCCAUCACUGAAAAGCAGUUUGGAUUUGCAAGGCUCACCGGAAGUUGGGUUAUUUUGUUUUGAUGCUGUGCCUGGAAUUCUGGCAUCAAUUUCAGUAGCUCAAAGAUAUAUGCAAUCCAGGUAUAGUGAAUUGAUGUGUCAGAAAACAGAAAAAAAAGACUUCCAAAGUUGAACGUUCUUUAUCAUGAAAAAUGAAUUAUUUGGAUUACAUGGGUAUCUUCAUGUUAGAAAAUUCAUUGAUUUGAUGCUUAAUUUCUUUCCUCUAUGUGUUAUUAGGCAUCAAUAACAACAAAUUAGCUUAUAUCUCUUAGAGAUUAACAACAAAAGAUGACAUAAAUGUAAACUGAUUUUAAAAUAAAUAGGAUCUUAAAGUACUGUACCAUACUGAAUCUAACUUGUGCUUCUUAUCUAAUCAACAUCCAGUGGAUUGAUGUUUGUGUCCCCCCAAAUUCAUAUUGUUGAAAUCUCAAUCCACAAGGUAAUGGUAUUAAAGGGUGGGGCCUUAGGGAAGCAAUUAGGUAUUUAGGUCAUGAGAGUGGAGGCUUUGUGAAUGUGAUUAGUGCCCUUACAAAAAGACAGGAGAAAACUUGCUUUCUAUCACUCUGCUCUCUGCCUUGUGAAGAUACAAGGAGAAGACUGCUGUCAACCAAGAUGAGGGCCUUCCCCCAAGAACCUGAUCAUGAUGGCACCUGAUCUUAAACUUCCGCCUCCAGAGUUGCAAGGAGUAAAUUUUUUUUGUUUCUUGAAGCCACCCAUCUGUGGUACUCUCUUAUAGUAGCCUGAGCUAACACACAAGAUAGAAUUACCUAAGGAACAGGUGAUUACAAUGAUUUCUUCUUACAACACCUGGGUGCAGCCUCAUUUUUGGCAGGAUCCAGUAUAAUUCUUUAUUAAAACAGUUUGUAGAUACAACUCUACAGCCUCUACAAUCGUAAAAUAUCCUAAAGUCCAAAAAACACUGUUUAUUUUGUUUUCAUAUCUCCCUUUUCCCAGGACUGUCUUCAUUUUUAAACUGCAAGUCCUGUGUCUUAGGAAGCCCUUCAAUCCCAAGCAAACCAGGAUGGAUAGUCAUCAAACUGUUAAAGGAAUAUAUGGGAAGUAAACCAAAGGUUUUAUGCAGUUAAACAAGAUAUUUCCUUCUUACAAAUAAGGCAAAGGCUAAUACUUUGUUGUAAUCUGUUGUCUUUUCAGCGGUCUUUAUAGAAUGACAGUCUAAUGCAGUCUAAACCUAAAGUCUGAGCCAUUCAUACCCUGAGUUCUAAUCUCUGUGCAGAACAAUGUUCUAUCCUAUCAGUAACCCACUAGGACAGAAGCAGAGAUGACUCUACACCCCUCACCCCACCCUUUCCUGCACUGCACGCCUGAAUGUCCCCCACACCCAGCCAUUACUGGCAUCUGGUGACAUCUUCCUGGCUGGACACAGAACAAGAGUUCUGGCAUAUUUAGGAUACAGUUUCCUAAGUACAGGAAAACUGAAAACAGAACAAAGAAAAAGUGUGGAUGUGAAAAUAACAAAGUGGAAAGAGAGA